GACGAACGCUGGCGGCGUGCCUAAUACAUGCAAGUUGAGCGCUGAAGGUUGGUACUUGUACCAACUGGAUGAGCAGCGAACGGGUGAGUAACGCGUGGGGAAUCUGCCUUUGGGCGGGGGACAACAUUUGGAAACGAAUGCUAUACCGCAUAAAAACUUUAAACACAAGUUUUAAGUUUGAAAGAUGCAAUUGCAUCACUCAAAGAUGAUCCCGCGUUGUAUUAGCUAGUUGGUGAGGUAAAGGCUCACCAAGGCGAUGAUACAUAGCCGACCUGAGAGGGUGAUCGGCCACAUUGGGACUGAGACACGGCCCAAACUCCUACGGGAGGCAGCAGUAGGGAAUCUUCGGCAAUGGACGAAAGUCUGACCGAGCAACGCCGCGUGAGUGAAGAAGGUUUUCGGAUCGUAAAACUCUGUUGGUAGAGAAGAACGUUGGUGAGAGUGGAAAGCUCAUCAAGUGACGGUAACUACCCAGAAAGGGACGGCUAACUACGUG
rnacentral:rRNA from 1 species